rnacentral:rRNA from 1 species
GACGAACGCUGGCGGCGUGCUUAACACAUGCAAGUCGAACGAAGUGGCGAACGUGUGAGUAACGCGUAAUCAACCUGCCCUUCAGAGGGGGACAACAGUUGGAAACGACUGCUAAUCCCGCAUACUGACGGUGGGGAUUGCGUCUGAUUAGCUAGUUGGAGGGGUAACGGCCCACCAAGGCGAUGCCGAGUAGCCGGACGGAGAGGAUGGGAGGCCACAUUGGGACUGAGACACGGCCCAGACUGCUACGGGAGGCAGCAGUGGGGAAUCUGCCGCAAUGGACGAAAGUCUGACGGAGCAACGCCGCGUGAGUGAUGACGGCCUUCGGGUUGGAAAGCUCUGUUAAUCGGGACGCGGUACCGGAAUAGAAAGCCACGGCUAACUACGUGCCAGCAGCCGCGGUAAUAC